GUUUAUAGCUAUACUACUCUGAACGUGCACUCGAUCUCAUCUCAUCUCGGAAGCUAAGCAGGGUUGGGCCUGGUUAGUACUUGGAUGGGAGAUUCUGCAUUAUGGUGAGUUGCAUAAUUA
rnacentral:rRNA from 1 species